ACUUAUACCAGUUUGUAGAUGUUUAGAAAGUAAGUAUGCGUAGUAAGUAGACGCAUGAGUUUCCAAGUUUCUUUUCAAAUGUUUCCAAUUAUUUAACCCUUUAAUAUGUCCAUUAAAUUUUUAUCUAGUAGUUGUCCUAAAAGGAUGUUGUCUAGGUUAUGCCACCACUAGUAAGUGCAGUCUUGUAAGUUGUAUAGUUGACCAUGAUAUCAAUAGAGGUAAAUUAUUUUAAUACAUCUGCAGGAUUUAUGUCAAUUUUGCACCUAAAUUGGUUUUU